CUGUUUCAGCACUACUCAUAAAUUUUUUAUGGACCAUACAUUAUGGACAGCCUCAUCAACUGGGAAAUGUAUUCAGAUGUAUAGAUCUGAAACACCUGUUAUCAUGGUCAGGUGAAACUAACUUUAAACUUUUUUGCCUAAUCAAACUUUUAUUUAUUUAUUUAUUUUGCUUAGGUAAAUUUUGAGGGUUCUUCCACUGUGCUUCUCUUUCAUUAAUCUCUUUGAGCUGUGGAUUAUUUCAGCAAAUCUUCAGGGUCCUCUUUAAUCCGAGCUUGUCGAUGUGCUUAGGGAUGAAAUAAUAGCGAACAUUUACAUCUGCCCCAUCCUCUACAACUUUUAUGUCUUUGGGUAUACAUGCGCUUUAUCCCAAUCUUUCAAGGUAGUGAAUCAGCAAAGCAAACCACACAUUGCCCUUCAGCAUAAGAGAUGUAGCAACACAUCCAUCAUUGAUCUCAGCAGCGCCAGGUCUGGCCUAGAUAGCGAACAUCAGCUCCAGAACUGUGGCCUGCACCUGGCUGUUUUCCCUUUCCCAAGGUUUCUGUUAGAUGUCUGGAACUAAAAUAAAAUGGCACUGAUGUUAAAUGAAUUGCCUCUAAUAACUGUAGUUACAAAUACAAACAAUGUAACUACUACAAAUACAAACAAUGUAACUACUGAGGAUUUUUGCAGUGUCCCAGAUGGAUUAUUCCAAAAAUGUCUUCUGUAAGUACACAUUACGGGUGCAAUGCAGUGCCAUUUUGAUCUGUAUCUGUUUAAGUGCAUUAUGAUGAUGAUUUAAUCAUCACUCGGAUUUUGUGUAGGAGUUCCGCAAUGUAACAUCGGAGUAUGCUGAUUUCGCAGACAUUCCUCAAGAAUACACCAAAAAAAAGAAGCCUUUUUUUCCCCUCACUAAAAUGGAGCCACCUUAUUGUAUAUAUCGAUCUGGAAUGAUUUGUGCAGGUGGUUUGAACUCUCUGAUAUUAACUGACACCACCUGGAAGCCCCGCCCCUUCCCCCAGAAUCACGUGCUCUUGGCUGGAGUCGGAGCGCACCCUUGCUUUCUGUCAGAAUAAAAUGGAGAAAGGUUUGAGUUUGUUAAUGUGAAAUAAAACCUGUCGUUGUGUGUUUAACUUGCUCAACAACUAUAUAUUUAGCAUCAAUUUAGUACGGAUGCUACUGGAGAAAUUCCGAAAGUGCUCUUCUAAACCUUCGGUGUUUGUCCGAAAGAGAAAAUAUGCAAAAUUUGGACCUAAAAAAAAAAAGAUUAAAUAGGCUCAGUACAGUUAUGCCAACAUACAUUAUAUGACCAUGUGAUCAAUGAUCAACAAGCACUUAUUAUAAUAAAGGUCACAUAAUCAGGUUGUGCACAUAGUAUGCAUGAUUUUUUUUGUGUGUGUGUGUGACUGCUGAACCCAUGCGAAAUGGUUACUGCAGACAUCCUCCGACAACAUUAUUUAACAGACGUAUCUGUAAAUCUUAUCCCAUUUGAAUAGUAAGAAUUUUUUUAUCACGCUUACUUCAUGCUAAAUAAUGCAGUUUUGGACAACUGGAAUCCUGCUACCAGAAUAAGAUACGGCUUUGUGCGUUGAUCACAAUUUACCCUGCAAUGGUUCUUUUUUUUUUUUUGGUUCUUUUUUUUCCUCCCCACUGUAACAUGAUAUUAGGUAGAGUGGAAUGCUUUAUGUCGGACCUACAAACACGGCUAGUUUUUUUUCCUCAUGUCUGUCAUCCUGUGGCACAGUGCCUCAGUGCCUCCCCGAUGGCUCUCUGCUGAAAAUAAUGCCCUUGUUCAUGGACCUGUCUGUCUACAGCCUUAGGUCGAGCACUGGCUAAUGGCCAGGCACCGGGCGAUAGCUGAUGAUUCUCACACACACAGGCAGUGGCGUGAGCCUGGCGGCACUCAGACUCUGUGAGCUCUCCCUGUUGUUAUCUUUUGUACUGUGUCCUUACUGCCUGCUCUGUCAUCCACCUCAGCAUAAAAGGAAUGCUACAAUUAGCCUCUGUAGAUUCCGGUUUAUUACAGAUGUAACAGAUUGUUACACAGGUGAAACACCUGGAAAUCUUCUGCGAGGAAUAGACUGUAAUUUGCAGGGCAGAGCUGAGAGUGGGGGGGAAGGUAGAGAGGAAGGGAAGCAGAAGUCUGUCCUUCAAGGGCUUUUCAUAAGCAAGCACCUAUCUGUCAUUAGAUCAGGCUCGGUACUCAUUUCCCAGGCAUGCUGGGGGGAAAUUGUUGCUCAAAACUGCUAUGAGGAAUUCGUUUGUUCAGUGUAGAAGGUGUGUAUUUACACACAGACCUCGAAAACUUUAGUGCCAUGAAUUUUUUGUCGUCUUAAGUGUAUUAAUAUAAAGACUAGGGGUAACACAAUGUCCCAAUCUGGGUCUGUAUCUGUUUAGUGCUCCAAAUAUUCAUAUCUCUAUCUGUAUUUGGGCCAAUGUUACAUUUAGGCUACAGUCUUCUUCUUUGGUUAGCAACAAGCUAGCAAGCUAGCCAGCUAACUGUGUUGAGUGGUGUAUAGUACAGUUUCCUCCUCAAAACAGUAAACUGUCUUUAACAAGCUAAUACUGUAUGUCUGUAUGUCGAUUAAUGCAAAGCAUAUACUUGUGUAUGUACAAGGAGACCAUCCUGAGUUUCUGACCUAGCUAGUAGUCAGAGCUAUAUUCAAAUACAGCAGUAUUAAAACCGGAAGUGGGGUGUGCAUGUAACCAAAUCAAAAAAAAUAUUUUCUCAGAAGUAUUCUCUAAUUAAUUAAUUUAGUUGGUUCACUUUUUCCAGCAGUAUUGAUAUAAAUGAAAACAAUGAAUGCUGUAAAUGUAUAGUUUAAGUUCAGUUUAAUAAAUUAAUAUGAAAAUCUAACAUCUGAAAUGUCUUUCUUUUUUUCCCCCUGAGCUUUAUGUCUGACUACUCACCCACAUGAAAGUUAAAACCUCCCACUCCCAACUUUUUCUUGUAUCCUGUUGGAUCCCAGUCACGAUGCGCUCCUCCAGCCUCAACCAGAUGCCCUGUGAACCUAUCUGGCAAGCUUUCUUUAAAAAGAAAAAAAUAUGUGAUCACAUUAUCUUUUCAUUCCAAAUAACACAUUCAUAUUUGGAUGGUUUCUUUAUACUUUAUUGUGCGCAUGAAAUGAACAGAAAGCAAAAAGGAAACAAAACUAUUUGUACCACAGUGUUGUUGAAUUCUCUUAUUUGAGAAGGUGUUGAUUAAUUUUCUGUAACAGGGGUUGUAGGGGGAAAUUUAAAGUUCACAUCUGUCCUUUUGAGCACGUCCGCUUCACGCCUCCAGGGUCGGGGGUUUGAUUCCCACCCUGGCCCUGUGUGUGCAGAGUUUGCAUGUUCUCCCCGUACUCCAGGGGGAUUUCCAACGGGUACUCCGGUUUCCUCCCCCAGUCCAAAGACAUGCAUGGUAGGCUGAUUGACGUGUCCAAAGUGUCCGUAGUGUGUGAAUGUGUAUGAUGUGAUUGUGCCCUGCAAUGGAUUGGCACCCUGCCCAGGGUGUACCCCGCCUUGUGCCUGAUGCUCCCUGGGACCGGCUCCAGGUUCCCCGUGACUCUGAAAAGGAGUAAGCGGUAUAGAAGAUGGAUGGAUGGAUGGAUCGAUCUGUCCUUUUGCUACUAAAGUAUUAGACCAACGCUAUAAUUAUCAUCCACACUAUAUGCUAGUCCAUUUCUGAACCGUAU
ensembl:lncRNA